ACGAGUAUAGGUUAAUGGUAAACCGUUUGUCUUCCAAACAAAUUAUGCUGGUUCGAUUCCGGCUAUUCGUA
rnacentral:tRNA from 2 species